GUUGCCUGCCGUUCCCGGCAAGUCUUUCACGAAUCAGUCACAGUUACGGUGUGAUCGCAGUGUGUCGCGGUCACGUGUGACUUGUAUUUAAUACUAUAGUGACUUAUAUUUAACUGUAAAAAUGUUUGCACUUUUAAUAGUUAUACACGAAGAAUUUAAGAAAAUUCUUAUUAUUUAUUUGCUUAUUUUUAUGUUCUGCUGUUUAGUUCUAUAUUUAAUUAAAAAAUAUAAAAAAAAGAUAGUGCGGAGAGAAACGGUCACAUUAAGACAGAGGUGCGGCACGAGGAGCAGGAAAUAUGUGCAAGUAAACACGAAACAGACAUUGAGGAAAGGGUCGUCGUGAGACGAGGGAGACACAAGGAGGAAAUUUAAGAAAGUACAGAAGACAGAUAUUUCAACCUCUGCACAUGCGGAAACCAGACCUACAGCAACGUUGGACGCGGAACGUUACGAUUGGUCGAAAAUUAAGCCAGACUGCCAUCAAUGGACACGAAGGGCCUGCAUCGAUUGCCAAAAGACAAAAGUCCACAAUCGGACACCUCAAAAAGAUAACUUACUGAUAUUAUUUCUAAGAAAAACUAAUUAAGUAGGUCUUCAGAAAGUCCUCUUAAAGAUUUCAUCCUUUCAAUAAUGCUCACUGGGAUGUCUGCGCUUGCGUCGGACGAAUCAGUUGCCUGCCGUUCCCGGCAAAUCUUUCACGAAUCAAUCACAGUUACGGUGUGAUCGCGGUGCGAUCAAGUAAACUGUGACUUGUUAUAUUAAAAAAUGUUGGAAUCUU